rnacentral:rRNA from 1 species
UACGUAGGGUGCAAGCGCUGUCCGGAAUUAUUGGGCGUAAAGAGCUCGUAGGCGGUCUGUCGCGUCUGCUGUGAAAACUCAGGGCUUAACCCUGAGCUUGCAGUGGGUACGGGCAGACUAGAGUGCGGUAGGGGAGACUGGAAUUCCUGGUGUAGCGGUGAAAUGCGCAGAUAUCAGGAGGAACACCGGUGGCGAAGGCGGGUCUCUGGGCCGUAACUGACGCUGAGGAGCGAAAGCAUGGGGAGCGAACAGG